GGCCGAAUGGCGGAGAGGUUACGCAACGGAUUGCAAAUCCGUUCAGCUUGGUUCAAAUCCAAGGUCGGCCUCCA
rnacentral:tRNA from 2 species